GACGUAGGGCGCGAGCGUUUUGUUCCGGGAUUUAUUUGGGGCGUAAAGAGCUCGGUAGGGCGGCUUGGUCGCGUCGUUUCGUGGAAAACCCUGCAAGCUCAACUGCAGGCUUGCGGGUCGAUACGGGCGAGGCUAGAGUUCGGUAGGGGAGACUGGAAUUUCCUGGUGUAGCGGUGAAAUGCGCAGAUAUCAGGAGGAACACCGGGUGGCGGAAGGCGGGUCUCUGGGCCGAUACUGA
rnacentral:rRNA from 1 species